rnacentral:sRNA from 1 species
ACUAAUUAGGUAGACGUAAAUGUGUUUGAUUUUUGGGGCUCUAGCUAUUUGCAUAGCUUCUAACAUCUAAAUAAAUUGUAGCUUGUCCUCUUCUGCUUGUGAGUGAGAUGUCUGAAGCUAAGGAGAUGGGCCAAACCCAUAACAAAUCAAGUCCAACUAUAAAGCCUGGUCAACAAAUACAGAAGAUGACAAAGAUCAAAAGCUGUCUCUCAUCCGUACAUGUACCUGCAGGAAACAUUGAAAGAGAAAGGAAGACGCUCCUCUAAAACUAAUUCAAUCCUCUUUCAUCCUUAUCUAAUAACCAAAAAUUACAUACAUCUGUAUAGUGUCGAGAGUGUUCUAGAUCCUUCUCCCUCAAUCUCUAUAAAAAGAAGAAUGUAAUCUCAUUGUAAUUAUUAUUGAAAAACAGAGUAAUAUUAUUAAAAGGUUCAAAUUUUCUCUUCUUUCUCAUGGUAUCAGAGCCAUUCUAAACUCUCACAGGUCCAAAAAUGGCAGAUCCAUACCCUUUUCCGGACAAUGUCCAUGUCUCUAGUUCUGUAACUCUCAAGCUCAAUGACUCCAACUAUCUCCUUUGGAAGACACAAUUCGAGUCUUUGCUAUCUUGUCACAAACUCAUCGGCUUUGUCAAUGGUGGAAUCAC